UUCCAAUACCCCCCCCCCUCUCAUCCACACACACACACACAGUAUUAUCAUUGCAGUUGUGUGCGAGUGAUUGCGGUGAAAGUGCCUGUGUUUGUUGUGGCACCUUGAUUGUUUUUUUACCUCUGUGUUUUUUUUCUUCAAUUGUGUGUGUGACCGCGUCAUUUACGCAACCUGUGGAAGAAGAAAAAGGAAUCCACUCGUUGACUUGGCUAUAAAAAAGGCGGCCGUAAAAAACGAAGGGGGGAUAGUAUGGGUAGGUAUAAACCCACUGUUAAUUGAGGUGGAGUUGAAUUACGUGAAAGAUGAACAACAAAGAGACAAGUGAAGUGGAGGAGCUCCUGCGAAAAGAAAACGAUUUUGAGGUACGUUGUGUUAUUUAAAAAAAGUCUGACGAGUAAUGCAAUGCUACAUUUGCAUACGGGAUCCUCGGAAGACAAGAAAUGGAGGAUCACCGAGUUUCCGAACAUACUCUAUCAGUGCACCUAUCCAGCUGAGUGGUGCUACUUUUCCUCAGAUAGGAAGUCCAAUAUGGGUCGCCAUUACACGAUCGGCUCCUCUUGCUCCU